CUUCUCCUGAAGAGCUCCUGGCUACCUGGUUACUAUGGGGAACCGGGCUUCACAGCAAUUCCUUGCAGGGUGGGAGCACGAUCUAGCUUGUGACGGAUGGCAAGGCUCCCUUUCACGUUCAUUCUUUCCUUCAUUCAUUCCAAACAACCUCAAGAGGUCGGCUGGCCCAGCUUCCUGCCUGAGAACUGCUGUUCUGAGAAGCACACGUCCGGAAAUGUUACUGAUCCACAUGGUGGGUGCACGCAGGAUCCGAGUGCCGUGCCUCAGGAAACAAGCUCCCUCUCCAUCCUCCUUGCCUUCUCUUCAGCCCACCAGCAUAUAGAAGUUCCUGGGAAUGCCCAAGAUGCAGAUGUGGAGUAACCAGCCCUGGAAUCCCAGUCCCAGCUACUGUCUGCCUUAAAGUGGGAAAGACUGAUGGUUAUCCUGCAAAAUUCUUUCUCCCUUUCUGCUUUAAUAAAAGAAACUCUAAUUUUUGGCUGACCA
rnacentral:lncRNA from 1 species